GUGCAUUGGUUAAUUCAUAAAUAUAUAUUGGUGAUCCACCCUGCAGGGGGAUGCAUGCUGUUCUACAGAUACAGAGUUGUCUCUCAGAUCCAAGCCUCCUUCAGCUCAAAGUGACUUCCAAAGUUGCUGUGGCCAAAAGAGGGAGAAAUCGAAGAGACCAGCCAGCUCUCACCUGGCUCAGCGCAUGUCACUUUCCUUGGCCAAAACAAGUCCCAAGGCCCCAAGCUUACUUCACAAGAGAGUGGAAAAUGCAGAGAAGCGCAUGGAAUCCAGUAUAUGGUGAGCACCAGUUGUCUCUGCCAACAUGACGGUAACUCUUUUCAUUUUUCAGUUACUGUAAUGAAUGUAUGUUGGAUCCAGACUGCGGUUUCUGCUACAAGAUGAACAAAUCAACUGUCAUUGACUCCUCCUGUGUUCCAGUUAAUAAAGCAUCUA
rnacentral:sRNA from 1 species